rnacentral:rRNA from 1 species
GCAUAUCAAUAAGCGGAGGAAAAGAAACCAACAGGGAUUGCCCUAGUAACGGCGAGUGAAGCGGCAACAGCUCAAAUUUGAAAUCUGGCGUCUUUGGCGUCCGAGUUGUAAUUUGCAGAGGGCGCUUUGGCAUUGGCAGCGGUCCAAGUUCCUUGGAACAGGACGUCACAGAGGGUGAGAAUCCCGUACGUGGUCGCUAGCCUUUACCGUGUAAAGCCCCUUCGACGAGUCGAGUUGUUUGGGAAUGCAGCUCUAAAUGGGAGGUAAAUUUCUUCUAAAGCUAAAUACUGGCCAGAGACCGAUAGCGCACAAGUAGAGUGAUCGAAAGAUGAAAAGCACUUUGGAAAGAGAGUUAAAAAGCACGUGAAAUUGUUGAAAGGGAAGCGCUUGCAGCCAGACUUGCCUGUAGUUGCUCAUCCGGGUUUUUACCCGGUGCACUCUUCUAUAGGCAGGCCAGCAUCAGUUUGGGCGGUUGGAUAAAGGUCUCUGUCAUGUACCUCCUCUC